rnacentral:lncRNA from 1 species
GGGGGGUGGGGUGUGGGGAAAGAAGAAAAACAAUAUUGAAUGGUAAGAAAUUAUAGUGCAAAAGUUAAAAGAUUUGUAACAACUCCCAUGUCACCCUUCUUGAAAAUCUUCCCCGAGAGAUAGAUGUGGUAGAACUCUUCUAACAAAUAAUUUCUCCUCCUCGGAGGGUCUCUUGCAAGAAUCCAGAUGUUGUGAGGUAAGACGAUCACGAACCUGUGCUAUCUUUUUCGACCUCUUCCUUGAUUUUCAACAUCCACUCGGGUCUCAAUCUCCUCAACUUCUGCUUUACGGGCUUGCUAUCCGGGAAUCACUCGCCCUAAUGAUUAAAGAAGGAGAGGCUUAACAGACACUUAAUUGCUUCUUUAUCGACUUUAGUCCGAAGAUCACUCGUUGGAGGCUUUCACUCACGGAGUUGCGACGGGCCGCUAGUCCCCUGGUUCCUACGGGACUCCAUAUGGAUAGGUUCGGAGAACCAGCUACCCAUUUGACAGCCACUCAGACCAUCUAACGACACGGUAGGGCAAGCCGGAUGCAGGGAGGUGUGGUUAUUUUAAUACAUUUCUCAGUGUGUUGAUGUUUCAUUGAAGAAUUUCUUGGCUGGCUUCUCGUCUUUUCAAGUUAAUUUUUAUAUCAAAUCUCAAUCUAAAAAAAAGAAAAAAAAGGAAAAAAAAACAGAUUGAUCGGAUACUUGUUGGACCAUCUUAUUAUAUAUUGAAAAUUCAGCCGUCCAUCUCUACUACAAGAGCUGUUGCAGUUUGGAACUUUGAGGGAUCAGUGUUGCAGGUCAACCUCCGGCUAACCAAUCAACAGAAAUACUUGUUUCAUAUCUAAUAGGUGC